UUUGAUUGGCGACGGAAGAAUUGUUUGUCGCCGACAACUUUUGAGGACUCGCCGAUACACUAUGGUCGAUGGUAUGACCCAGAUGUAAGAAAAUACACCGUCGAGUAUCUUUCGCCCAUAAAAGGGGAUCACUAUAACGAGAACAUCUAAGUCACCCAAGAUCUCGUCAACCCAUCUCAACCAGGGAACCUCUCUUCGCCUCCUCGGCCGACGGCGCACGCAGCCUCUCACCAAUAUUAUUCUCAUUCUGACGCCACACUCAGGAGUGUCCUUUUAUCGUAUAGGGCUCCUCAUUUUGCUUGAUUGUCCAACAGAAAGAGCCAGAGGGGUGACUGGGAGAGAAGAGUUGUUCGACGCCAUUGAUUGGAGGCAGUGAUGGUGCGCGUGGAGAUCCAACAGUGGUGAAGGAAAGAGAGAGUAAAAAGGGUGAAGAAGUUGGUUGAGGCAUUAAUACAAACAGGUGGUGGGCAGAAGAGCAUGGUGGGGUGUAGGGCUCCGCCAGCCAGUUGGGCCAACGUUACUUUCAAGAGGA